GAAAUAUAUAAAGGCUACGCAGCCAAGUACAAAAGCAUAGUACUAGAGGAGAUUCAUACACGAAGAGCUUGUGCCGAAACCAGCUAGAAAAUGCGUGCGUGGAUUGUGUGUGUGGUGCUCGUCACUGUGGCCAUGAUCUCUGUCUGCAGCACUGAGGAAGAAGACAGCAAAGAGAAGGGAGGGUGUGGUAAAUGUCUGAGCACGUGUUACGGGUGGAAGGAAGAUUGCCAGAGGAACGCAUCUUCUGUGUACUGCGAGCGACAGCGUGAUAAAUGUGAGGAAUGCAAAAAUUGCAAGAAAGAUGAAACUUCGUAGUUUUAAAUAUUUCAGUUUUUUAUUGUUAUUUAUGACUUGAAUAUGGCACGUACAUGGAAUAUGUAUAUACGGUGAAAAGUUUCUGAUUUCAAUUUUCUGUACUGUAAAUAAUAGCAAUUAAAAUACUGCAAUGAA